AUCUACAUUAAAUUUUUUUGAAUAAGGCCGAUGGAUAAUAAAUAUUUAUUUCAUAAAAGGAAAUUUUUUGGGAGCGAUUAUGUUAUCCAAGUUUUUUGUGUACCAGAAAUUGUCCGACUUGUUUCAUUCGCGAAAAAAAAUCAAUAAUUCGGCACAUCAAAACACAUCUAUGCACCUGUGAUGUCAGAAGAUGGUGGCCUCGCUCGCUCUCUCACUCGCUGACUGGCAAAAUACACAUGCAAUUGUGUUGAGGACAACAACAACAACAACAACAAAAAUACAGAAAAUGGCAAACAACGGCAUACUUUGAAAGAUGUGGAGGCAGACAAGGAAAUAAAAAGAAAAUAUGCAACUUUUCCAUUAAUCUAUUUUCGUAUACAUAACAACAAUAACAAAUGUACAACCUUUUCAGUUUAGUUUAUAA
rnacentral:sRNA from 1 species